rnacentral:lncRNA from 1 species
GACACCCAGGACUUCAGGGUUGACUGGUAAAUGUAGCCUAGCUGAAAGUCAGGAAGAAAAGGAAUGGAAUGUCUGAUGGAUAGCUUGCGGUCUUUGUCACAGACACCAGACUAUAGAAAGUAUGAUUCCCAUUUAACAGUAAUGAAAGCUGGCUGAGCAAAAACCCAGAGCAUAAUUUCUCACUGGCUGGCUGCUCCAGAUAGUAAUAGCUUCAGUGCCCUUCAGAGUGGAAUUUUCCUGAGCCUGUGAAGAUGUGUGAGGUGUACCCAGCAGGUAGGAUCCUGAUUGUUACACGAACUGUCCACCUCCAUCCAGAGCCGUGUGGCUUGUAGUGCCUUCUCGUGGCAGGUAUAUUUUCCUGCCUGUUCACGUGACUUGUGUUGGCCAGUGGAAUAUAGUUUGAUCUGCAGUAGUUUGAAUCUGAGGAUGCUGAACCUGUGGAUAAGGAGAGCCUACUUUUCUUGGACAAAUGCCCUGUGUCAGAAGAGUGUGGUAAACAGAAGCUCAGCUCCUUCAAGGAUGACAGCCUUGGUUACACCACCAGGUGGUCAUCAUUCCUUCAUCUGCGAAAAAAAUAUGAGCUUGAUAAAACUGCUACCAGUGGAGCAUGUGCCACCAAGAUUGGCUUUGAUUCUCCAGGGAUACCCUGUAUGUAUCAAUAAGAGGAGGAGAUAAAGGCCGGGCGUGUUCAGCAAGAAUGUUUCUAUUUUGCUCUAUGUCAUGAUAAAUUACGCUUGCUGGCUGCAUCGAAUAUUUCUGUUGAAGAAGAAAGAACACCCCACUCUCAGGAUCCAAAUUGAGAAAAGGAUAGCUGUUCUUGGAUGUCAUCACUGCCAAUCUGCCCUGAAAUAAAAGAGAGAGUCCAUUUCCGCUGUGUUCCAAGGAAGCAGCGAGCCCUAGAACGUGACAGGUCUCUCUUUCUGCCCCUCCUCAUCGAGGGAAAGGGAGAACUACUGAAACAAAAAGAAGGAAACCUCACAAGCAGAGGGCUGAGAAACCUAGGCAGAUAACAUCUCCUUAUUUCUUAACACUCUCUUAGAAAAUUAAAAGGACUUUGUAGAAAAUCCUUUUGACUGAUGGAGUAGCUCCGAGGAACAGAGAAAGACAGAUUAACAAGAUGAAAGACCAGGAGCCAGAGGACCCAGACCAGGAGCCAGAAGACCCAGAUGCUUUGAGGGCAACAUCUUCCUUUUGUUGGAAAUAAUUAAGUGGUUCCUCUUAUUAGGUCAUGAGUGAGGUAUUGAACACUCCAGCAGUAAUCUGCACAGACCUCCAUUCUUCCAGACCUCCCUGCCAACAAUUCCGUAAGCACUCAAUUCCAGUAAAAUCCUUCUUCUGUUUAAAAUGCCUAGAAAAUUUUCUAUUUUCCUGACCAGCUUUGACUGAUACAAACAGAAAAUGUGGUGCCAGGUCCUGCAACCAUCAUCUUGCAGACAAUCCUUUCACAAUAUUCCAACAUGCUGAGGAUUCCGAGACAGAAAGACAACAGAUUCUCAGACGAUGUCAUUGAGCCACUGCCCCAGAUCCCGACAGCAUCGCGUUUUCACUGCUUUUUAGGUAAAGGAAAAUAAAAUAUACUUGGGUCAGUCAAAUUAGUUUAGUUGUAGCCAGAGUAUUCCUAUUUUUUACCCAAGCUUCUCAUCUGAGAAAUGGGGCUACAGCAAGGUUUAGCAUAUAUUUAAUGGGAUAUAUGCAGGGUGCUUGGC